UUGAUAGGUUCACAAAAUGUGGGGGGCAGCCAAAGCAUUAGGUUUUGGGAGGAAGAGUGAGGCUAAGGCAAAGCCUAAGGAAGCCACUAAGGCUAAGGCUAAUCCAAAAGAAGCCCCGAAGGCUAAGGCCAAGGGUGGGAAACCAAAGAGUGAAUCAAUUCUAGCUCAACCUUUCUCAAAGAUGGAUAGUGCCAAAGUCAAAGAUAACAACACCAGUGCUGCUAAUCAUCUGUUGGGAAACAAUAAAGUUGCGGGCACAACUUCAUUUGGAGCUCGACAGACCAUCCAAAUCCCGCGCAUUAUCGGAUCGGUCUCUAAAUAGUGCCCUUUGACUGUGGACGAGGAUUACAAAUAAUGCUAGAGUGUAUGCUGCUCUUUAAUUUCUGUGUUUUGUUGUACUGGCUGUAUUUCUUUUGUAACUGUUUUUGAUAAAGAGUUUACUUUUUAUCAAUAUGUUGAUUUUGCAUUGUCA